rnacentral:tRNA from 1 species
GGGGAUGAAGCUCAAUUGGUAGAGUGUUUGCCUUGCAUGUACAAGGUCCUUGGUUCAAUUCCCAGCACCUCAA